UAUUUAAGUUCUUAUCUCCUCUGGAGCAGAACCGGGUCGAGGCCUCGCAAGAAAAGCCAUAUGAGCGCCACUCCCCAAGGUUUCCCCAAGCCCCAAGGCCCAAGGGUUCUCCAUCGUCCAAGAAACCCUUGAUCAAGAAAACCUAGCUCGUCUUUCCUUUCAGCGAUGCUCUAUUCUCUCCGUCCCUCUUCUCACCUGCCUCUCCGCCGCUUCUUCUGCCACAGCUCCGCUCCGCCGGACAUGGCGAGAUACCGAGAGGUUUUCGCCAGGAGAAUGACCAUGGCCGGAAUCAAACCCCACCAUCGAAUCGCUUUGGGAGUCUCUGGCGGACCUGACAGCAUGGCGCUGUGUGUCUUGACGGCUGGGUGGAAAUCUGAGGGUCGUUUGGGCAAGAAUGAAACGUCGAACUUCGUAGACGGGCUUCUGGGAAUUAUAGUGGACCAUAGAUUGCGGCCGGAGAGUACAGAGGAGGCGACUCAGGUUCGAAACAGGGUUAAUAAGAUAGGAAUUCAUUGUGAGAUUGCAUGUUGUGAUUGGCCGGAUGGGAGGCCUAAGAAAGGUCAUUUGCAAGAGGCUGCUCGGGAGAUGAGGUAUCAAAUUUUUCAGGGUGUUUGCAUUAAGCAACAAAUAGGAAUCUUGCUUGUUGCCCACCAUGCAGAUGACCAGGCUGAACUUUUAAUUCUAAGGCUAUCUCGCAAUAGUGGAGUCCUUGGACUUGCUGGUAUGGCAUUUGUUUCACAAUUAUUUGCUACACAAAUGAAAUGCUUUGGAGAAAAUUCAGGCAAUAAUAGCGUUCUGCUUGUGCGGCCAAUGCUUGAAUUCUCAAAAGAUGACAUGUAUAAAGAGCUAGUGUUUUUAUCCAUGCAUGAAGUCAAAAUGAAAACAUGUGUUUUGGAUUAUUUUGAGAUUUGUCAAGGAAGCAAUCAAGAGUGGGUGGAAGAUCCAACAAACCAAAGUCCGUUGUUUGCUCGGAACCGAAUACGAGCCUGUUUAAGAAGCCUGUCAUCAUGUGUCUUUAGAUCAGAACUGCAAGGACUUAUCUCUGCUUGCCGGUUAACACGGACAUAUGUUGACAAUAUUUGCCAUCAGAUGAUAAGGCACUCUGUUACCAUCAUGGAGCAUGGGUAUGCUAUAGUUGAUUUAGAGAAGCUCAAUCCAUCAGAUGUUGAGGAUCUUUGUUUAUCAAAAUUUCUAGCAUUGAUCUUGCAGUUCAUCUCGCAACGGAAUAGGCCAAUUCGUGGUAGUAUUUCACAGCUGCUACUGGGCUACAUCCGCAACAUCCCGUGCAAGACCUCCCUUACUGCAGCUGGCUGUUAUCUUUGUCCUGCUCCACAGUCCAAGGGCAUGAAAAUCUUGAUCAGUUUUUCUGCUUCCUCACCACAGCCAACUAGAGUGGAGCUUUCAUACAAGUGCUCAUGUGAAGAACAGCAAUCAAAACUGCCUAGCGAGAUAGAUAAGAUAAUAAUGAGUGCAAAAUCAUUUUCUGAUCAAUCAGUCCCAGAUGCUUCUAUUGUACCCUUUAUGCAUGCAAAAUCUUCUAUGACUAUUCUAAGUGAAGCAAAGAGGCUGAACCUUAUCAGUGAAUCAACCUUUAAAAACAUUUGCUUGUUGCAAGAGGAAGAACUAGAGAAAUUUGGCACCAAGACAGAGACUAAACUUGAUGACCAGUUGAGGGAUAUGAAGCCUGCUCCAAGCAUAACAUUAAAUCCUGGGGAAUCAUGCCACUUUAUGAGCAGGUUCUUAGUUACAUGGAAACUUCGUAAAGAUGUUACCGAAGAUCAGCUUUCCUGGAAUAGAAAUCAAGGCCAUCUCUGUCAAUUUUGCAUGAUUGAUCAGGAGAAAACAGGUGCAGUUAGGCACAUGGUCGAUGCAGACUGGUUGUUUCUUGCAGAACUUUCUAAGAGCCUGAAAAUGGAAGAAUGUCAGGACAAUUCAAAUGCUGCAAUAUAUAAUCAGGAUGUAGCGCAAAAGGCUCAGUGUUCCAGAUACAUGCAAUUGUCAGCACAGGGAGCUAUUCAGGCCUUGAAAUCAAUUCCAGUUUCUGCAAGAAGAGCAUUGCCUGUAAUUGUUAAUUCUCAGGGUCUACUACUAAGCAUACCGAGCAUUUGUUUCAGGUGUUGUCCUUGCCUAUCAGUAGAUGCAGUAUUCAGGCCGAGAGUGCCCCUUGGAGGAGGUUACAGUUCAUAUAUUUGACUUCUGCAGGGGUCAGGAGGUUCAUCAGUUGUCAUGGUAACGCAUCCAUGGCUUAUGCGGUGCUCCAAGUCUGGGUCAUCACCUUUGACUCCAUGGUGAAGUUGGACAAAAGCUUUGAGAGUACACUCAUGCUCACAUGAUUGGAUGAUGAAACAUCACAUUUGAGAUCCAACCAGGGACUAACAGCAUGGAGACUGCAGAGCUAUGUGCGUUGGGUUCUGGGUACAGGGCCGGCAUCUCUCGAUGAAUCAUUGCAAGUUGGUAGGCACUAUCAGGUUUCUCGUCAUCCUGUCGUUUAACUUGUUGGAUAUCAUUAACCAAUGUAACGUAAAUGUGCUCAGCGUUACUCGUGCAAACAGAAUUGUAGGCGGAUGUUUCAAAUUAUGCAUAUUAUAAACUCUGUAGGCUAUACUGUAUUCGACCGUGUAGAACGAGCAUGCAUGCUAAAAAGUAGAGCAUCCAGAUAUUGUGUGGGUAACCCACGGUGAACAAGCCAAAAGAGGGCGAACAUUUGAGUUCGGGAAAGUAGUAAGACUCAUCAAAACUUCGCAAAAGCUUAAAAGGUUUAAUUGGAAUGAAUGGCAAAGAAUCUCCGCUAACAAAUAGGCAGCAGCUGCAGUAUGAAGGGAAAUACCUCCAAAUGCCGAGUGGCAGCCCACGGAUCGGUCUUAUACGAUCACGUGAAUAAUAGAGACGGCCACCGUUGGUGAACGUAUGCCAUCUUUUCCUUUCGCAUCGGGAGCCGCCUUCUCAGCCUUCGUGCGGAUGGAAGUAAAGAAAAAAAGAAAAAAAAUUCCCUGAUCAGUCGCGGCUAACUGCUGUGGCUGGUGGAUUCAGAAACUAGUUGCCGAACCAACAUAUAAAAGAAAAUGAACCUGAGGAGACCACUUCCUUUCACCAUAGAGAAGUUGCUUGCAGAUCUCAGAAGAACAGUGGGUCUCGAGGAAACACAGCAGCAAAAAUGAUCAAUCAAUUCACAAGCUACAAACCACCUCCUGAAUUUCUACGGUUGUUGUUUUGAAUCCAAACAAAAAGUAGAACUUCCUUAGGAAGUGAUUCUCUGGUAUUUUCUACAGCAAUAAGAAAAAGCCCUCGGGCAAGUCAUCUAA